rnacentral:rRNA from 1 species
UACGUAGGCAGCAAGCGUUGUUCGGAGUUACUGGGCGUAAAGGGUGUGUAGGCGGUUCUCUAAGUCUGGUGUGAAAUCUCCCGGCUCAACUGGGAGGGUGCGCCGAAAACUGGAGGACUAGAGUGCGGGAUGGGAGAGUGGAAUUCCUGGUGUAGCGGUGAAAUGCGUAGAUAUCAGGAGGAACACCUGUGGUGUAGACGGCUCUCUGGACCGCAACUGACGCUGAGACACGAAAGCGUGGGUAGCAAACAGG